rnacentral:miRNA from 1 species
CAAGUUCUGUGAUACACUUAGGCU